rnacentral:rRNA from 1 species
CAUGCAAGUCGAGGGGCAGCAUGGUCUUAGCUUGCUAAGGCCGAUGGCGACCGGCGCACGGGUGAGUAACGCGUAUCCAACCUGCCUUACACUCUUGGACAGCCUUCUGAAAGGGAGAUUAAUACAAGAUGUUAUCAUGAGUAAGCAUUUUCGCAUGAUUAAAGGUUUACCGGUGUAAGAUGGGGAUGCGUUCCAUUAGAUAGUAGGCGGGGUAACGGCCCACCUAGUCUUCGAUGGAUAGGGGUUCUGAGAGGAAGGUCCCCCACAUUGGAACUGAGACACGGUCCAAACUCCUACGGGAGGCAGCAGUGAGGAAUAUUGGUCAAUGGACGAGAGUCUGAACCAGCCAAGUAGCGUGAAGGAUGAAGGUUCUAUGGAUUGUAAACUUCUUUUAUACGGGAAUAAACGGAUCCACGUGUGGAUUUUUGCAUGUACCGUAUGAAUAAGGAUCGGCUAACUCCGUGCCAGCAGCCGCGGUAAUACGGAGGAUCCGAGCGUUAUCCGGAUUUAUUGGGUUUAAAGGGAGCGUAGAUGGGUUGUUAAGUCAGUUGUGAAAGUUUGCGGCUCAACCGUAAAAUUGCAAUUGAUACUGGCAGUCUUGAGUACAGUUGAGGUAGGCGGAAUUCGUGGUGUAGCGGUGAAAUGCUUAGAUACCACGAAGAACUCCGAUUGCGAAGGCAGCUUACUAACCUGUAACUGACAUUGAUGCUCGAAAGUGUGGGUAUCAAACAGGAUUAGAUACCCUGGUAGUCCACACGG